GCCAGCCCGCUCAGAAACUCAAAGGAAGUUGACGGGGCCCGCGACAAGCGGUGGAGUAUGUGGUUAAUUCGAUGCAACGCGAAGAACCUUACCUGGUCUUGACAUCCCGGAGACCCUUAGGAAACUAGGGGGUGCUUCCAUCUGGAAGAAUCUGGAGACAGGUGCUGCAUGGCUGUCGUCAGCUCGUGUCGUGAGAUGUUGGGUUAAGUCCCGCAACGAGCGCAACCCUUGCCUUUAGUUGCCAGCAGUUCGGCUGGGCACUCUAAAGGGACUGCCGGUGUUAAACCGGAGGAAGGUGGGGAUGACGUCAAGUCCUCAUGGCCUUUAUGACCAGGGCUACACACGUACUACAAUGGCCGAUACAAAGGGCAGCGACACUGCGAGGUGAAGCCAAUCCCGUAAAAUCGGUCUCAGUCCGGAUUGGAGUCUGCAACUCGACUCCAUGAAGUUGGAAUCGCUAGUAAUCGUGGAUCAGCAUGCCACGGUGAAUACGUUCCCGGGCCUU
rnacentral:rRNA from 1 species